rnacentral:rRNA from 1 species
UACGUAGGGUGCAAGCGUUGUCCGGAAUUAUUGGGCGUAAAGAGCUCGUAGGCGGUUUGUCACGUCGGCCGUGAAAACUCGGGGCUCAACCCCGAGCCUGCGGUCGAUACGGGCAGACUAGAGUGCUGUAGGGGAGACUGGAAUUCCUGGUGUAGCGGUGAAAUGCGCAGAUAUCAGGAGGAACACCAGUGGCGAAGGCGGCUCACUGGACCGGCAUUGACGCUGAGGUGCGAAAGCGUGGGGAGCAAACAGG